AUUGAACGCUGGCGGCAGGCCUAACACAUGCAAGUCGAACGGUAACAGGAAGCAGCUUGCUGCUUCGCUGACGAGUGGCGGACGGGUGAGUAAUGUCUGGGAAACUGCCUGAUGGAGGGGGAUAACUACUGGAAACGGUAGCUAAUACCGCAUAACGUCGCAAGACCAAAGAGGGGGACCUUAGGGCCUCUUGCCAUCGGAUGUGCCCAGAUGGGAUUAGCUAGUAGGUGGGGUAACGGCUCACCUAGGCGACGAUCCCUAGCUGGUCUGAGAGGAUGACCAGCCACACUGGAGCUGAGACACGGUCCAGACUCCUACGGGAGGCAGCAGUGGGGAAUAUUGCACAAUGGGCGCAAGCCUGAUGCAGCCAUGCCGCGUGUAUGAAGAAGGCCUUCGGGUUGUAAAGUACUUUCAGCGGGGAGGAAGGGAGUAAAGUUAAUACCUUUGCUCAUUGACGUUACCCGCAGAAGAAGCGCCGGCUAACUCCGUG
rnacentral:rRNA from 1 species